AGAGUUUGAUCAUGGCUCAGGACGAACGCUGGCGGCGUGCUUAACACAUGCAAGUCGAGCGGUAAGGCCCUUUUGGGGGUACACGAGCGGCGAACGGGUGAGUAACACGUGGGUGACCUGCCCCUUACUCUGGGAUAAGCCUGGGAAACUGGGUCUAAUACCGGAUAGGACUUCAUGCUGCAUGGUGUGGGGUUGAAAGUUUUUUCGGUGGGGGAUGGGCCCGCGGCCUAUCAGCUUGUUGGUGGGGUGAUGGCCUACCAAGGCUUCGACGGGUAGCCGGCCUGAGAGGGCGUCCGGCCACACUGGGACUGAGACACGGCCCAGACUCCUACGGGAGGCAGCAGUGGGGAAUAUUGCGCAAUGGGCGGAAGCCUGACGCAGCGACGCCGCGUGGGGGAUGACGGCCUUCGGGUUGUAAACCUCUUUCGGCCUCGACGAAGCCUUCGGGUGACGGUAGGGGUGGAAGAAGCACCGGCCAACUACGUGCCAGCAGCCGCGGUA
rnacentral:rRNA from 1 species